rnacentral:rRNA from 1 species
UACGUAGGGUGCGAGCGUUGUCCGGAAUUACUGGGCGUAAAGAGCUCGUAGGUGGUUUGUCGCGUUGUUCGUGAAAACUCACAGCUUAACUGUGGGCGUGCGGGCGAUACGGGCAGACUGGAGUACUGCAGGGGAGACUGGAAUUCCUGGUGUAGCGGUGGAAUGCGCAGAUAUCAGGAGGAACACCGGUGGCGAAGGCGCCACUCUGGGCCGGUACUGACGCUGAGGAGCGAAAGCGUGGGGAGCGAACAGG